rnacentral:rRNA from 1 species
AUGAAGCGGAAGUUCUUUGACCAAGAUCGUGGUCGUUUGCUGCAACAAUUGGUAUCUCAAAGUGCUGAUAUUGCAGAAAGAAUGACAAUAACAUUGGAAGAGCUAGAGAAAGCAACACAUGAUUUUGACAAAGCUCGUGAGCUUGGUCAUGGAGGACAUGGUACCGUCUACAAAGGGAUUUUAUCAGACCUCCAUGUCAUAGCCAUCAAGAUAACAAAGAAAGUGGUUCAAAAAGAGAUUGAUGAGUUCAUCAAUGAGGUUGCUAUACUAUCACAAAUCAAUCACCGAAAUGUUGUAAAACUAUACGGUUGCUGCCUUGAAACAGAAGUCCCGAUGUUGGUCUAUGAGUUCAUAUCCAAUGGGACGCUUUACGAUCAUCUGCACAUCACUGAAUCAAGAUCAUUUUCAUGGAAAAGGCUGCGAAUAGCAACCGAGACAACUAAGUCACUAGCCUAUCUUCACACAACUAUAUCAAUACCUAUCAUCCGUAGAGAUAUUAAGUCCGUUAACAUACUUUUGGAUGAUACUCUAGCCUCAGAGGUAGCAGAUUUUGGAGCAUCAAGGUAUAUUCCAGUCGAUAAAUCGGGUGCAACAACGAUGGCGCAAGGCACAAUAGGAUAUUUAGACCCUAUGUAUUUCUGCACAGGGAGACUCACACAGAAAAAUGAUGUUUACAGCUUCGGUGUCAUGCUUUUAGAACGGUUGACAAGAAAGAAGCCAUUCGCAUAUUUAUCUUCCCAAGGCAAUGGCCUCGUGGCACAUUUUGCUAUCUUAUUUGCAGAAGGCGAUUUGUCUCAGCUAGUCAUGGAUGGGGGAGGCAAAGAAGUGGAACAAAUAGCUGCGCUUGCGAUAGUGUGCGUAAAGAUAACAGAUGAGGGCCGUCCGUCCAUGAGACAUGUGGAGUUAACACUUGAAGGUCUUAAAGCAUCCAAUGGGCAUGUUCUAGAUAAUGCAACCGCUGAUACAUCUGAGGCGAAUGGUACUGCAACAAAGUUCCAAGUGACCACAUAUCUCUCAAACAGAAAGGAAUCAAGCAGACAAUAUAGUAUGGAAGAAGAAUUCAUAUUGUCCUCAAGGUACCCUCGGUAG